UAGGGAAUCUUCGGCAAUGGGGGCAACCCUGACCGAGCAACGCCGCGUGAGUGAAGAAGGUUUUCGGAUCGUAAAGCUCUGUUGUAAGUCAAGAACGGGUGUGAGAGUGGAAAGUUCACACUGUGACGGUAGCUUACCAGAAAGGGACGGCUAACUACGUGCCAGCAGCCGCGGUAAUACGUAGGUCCCGAGCGUUGUCCGGAUUUAUUGGGCGUAAAGCGAGCGCAGGCGGUUUGAUAAGUCUGAAGUUAAAGGCUGUGGCGCAACCAUAGUUCGCUUUGUAAACUGUCAAACUUGCGUGAAGAAGGGGGGAGUGGAAUUCCAUGUGUAGCGGUGAAAUGCGUAGAUAUAUGGAGGAACACCGGUGGCGAAAGCGGCUCUCUGGUCUGUAACUGACGCUGAGGCUCGAAAGCGUGGGGAGCGAACAGG
rnacentral:rRNA from 1 species